GGCGGGAUUCCCGCUUGACGACUGUGUCUUUGAUCCAGAAGGAGGCGGGCAUUCCAAGUGCGGCGAUGUCAGACGAGCGACAGCGUAGCUUUGCAACGUUCAGAUGGACACUUUGGACACAAACUUUGGCGCCGUGCUGAGCCAAAGUGUCUACGAAGUUAAACACCACAUCAUGUAUCUCAGCUGGAAACUAUUGGACUGCGAAACCAGACCAAAUACGAGAAAUCCUGCCUGUAUCCAAUUCCACUCCGAGGACGACACUUCCUGUCCCAGCCCCGAGGACGUUACUGCCUUUGAACCACCUAUAAAACCCCUCAUCCUCCAUACUUGAUCAGUUCUAUUCUGGACUCUAACCUGUACACAUUGUAUGCAAAAUUAAGCCUUUUGCAGCCAGGGAAACUAAAUGGGUG